rnacentral:rRNA from 1 species
UACAGAGGUCCCAAGCGUUGUUCGGAUUCACUGGGCGUAAAGGGUGCGUAGGUGGUCGGGUAAGUCCGAUGUGAAAUCUCCAGGCUCAACCUGGAAAUGGCAUUGGAUACUAUCUGGCUUGAGGAGUGGAGGGGGGACUGGAAUUCUCGGUGUAGCAGUGAAAUGCGUAGAUAUCGGGAGGAACACCAGUGGCGAAGGCGGUGCUCUGGGCCGGAACUGACGCUGAGGAGCGAAAGCGUGGGUAGCAAACAGG